rnacentral:rRNA from 1 species
AUUGAACGCUGGCGGCAUGCCUUACACAUGCAAGUCGAACGGCAGCACGGGAGCAAUCCUGGUGGCGAGUGGCGAACGGGUGAGUAAAGUAUCGGAACGUGCCCAGUCGUGGGGGAUAACGUAGCGAAAGUUACGCUAAUACCGCAUACGAUCUAUGGAUGAAAGCGGGGGAUCGCAAGACCUUGCGCGAUUGGAGCGGCCGAUAUCAGAUUAGGUGGUUGGUGGGGUAAAGGCUCACCAAGCCGACGAUCUGUAGCUGGUCUGAGAGGACGACCAGCCACACUGGGACUGAGACACGGCCCAGACUCCUACGGGAGGCAGCAGUGGGGAAUUUUGGACAAUGGGCGAAAGCCUGAUCCAGCCAUGCCGCGUGCAGGAUGAAGGCCUUCGGGUUGUAAACUGCUUUUGUACGGAACGAAAAGGUUUGGCCUAAUAAGCUGAGCUCAUGACGGUACCGUAAGAAUAAGCACCGGCUAACUACGUGCCAGCAGCCGCAGUAA